GAUGAACGCUGGCGGCGUGCCUAAUACAUGCAAGUCGAGCGAAGCGGGUACGGGUGAGUAACACGUGGCUACCCUCCUAUACGACUGGGAUAACUUCGGGAAACCGGAGCUAAACCGGAUGCUUUUAGAUGGAUCCGCGCUGCAUUAGCUAGUUGGUAAGGUAACGGCUUACCAGAGCAACGAUGCAUAGCCGAGCUGAGAGGGUGAUCGGCCCCACGGGAACUGAGACACGGUACAGACUCUGACGGGAGGCAGAAGAAGGGAAUCUGCCGCAAUGGGCGAAAGCAUGACGGACCAACGCCGAGUGAGUGAUGAAGGUCUUCGGAUCGUAAAACUCUGGUAUUAGGGAAGCGGUACCUAAUCAGAAAGCCACGGCAAACUACGUUGCAGCAGCCGCGGUAAUAC
rnacentral:rRNA from 1 species